rnacentral:lncRNA from 1 species
UUUGCUGAUGCAAGUUUGAAUCUUAGACCAAGCCAAAUAAGGAGUUGUUUAUUCCAGAGAGCGAUCACCUUCGGGAUGGUGGAAGGCUGAAACUGGCACCAUCUUCUGGUGAGGCGCAUCACAGCUCUCCACAAUCUAAAGCGGAUGGUGUCCAGCCCUGUCCUGAGUCAUACAGAGUGACACAUUGAAUUGAUUCUAUCCCCGCCUCUGUGGAAGGAAUCACUGUCUCACCAAGGCCUACGACUGAACCUGAUGCUUCUGAGGUCUGCGGGCUUGUCUUGAAGGCACGAGCUGCACCACACCCUCUCUGCCAUGGUGGACUGAAAUGUCUGAAAUGUUGGGGAAUGAGUUCCAGGUCUGGGAGCCCUGGUUAGGAUCCUGCCUCUUUGGGAAAUGGCAGAUCAAUGUGUCCUCAUUCAGAGAGAAGGUGAAAACACUGGGACAAAUUUAUACUUCAGAAACCAUUCUUCUGCAUGUUUAAUGCAAAGCCAGGCUUGAUGGUGCAUGUCUGUAAUCCCAGUGCUGGAGAAACUGAAGUGGGAAGAUUGCAAACUCAAGACCAAUCUGUCCAAAAAAACAGAGAUUGACAAAAUAAUUCAUAUGCUUAAUUCAAGUAUUAACUUCCCUCUUUUGUAUAUGACAUAUAUAGAGUUUUUAAUCAACUGGAUAUCAAAUAUCCUUUGUUGUCUGUUGAUAAAUGUUGUUCAUAUUUAUAAAGAAAUGUGAUGAGAGUG